rnacentral:tRNA from 1 species
CGGGCCAUAGCUCAGUUGGUAGAGCGCAUGGUUUGGGACCAUGAGGUCGUGGGUUCGAGCCCCACUGGCCCGA